UUCUAGGAUGAAUGGCACUGGGCUCUGACGGUGUUGAUAUAACAACCCGGUUAUGAUGGACAUGCCCUUUCGUGGCAGGCCUAGAAAACCUUGCCCACUGAUU
rfam:Blastomyces gilchristii SLH14081 genomic scaffold supercont1.16, whole genome shotgun sequence.